rnacentral:lncRNA from 1 species
UGAGCUUGUGUGUAAGUAAUAGGGCAUUUUCCCAUUGCACCUCCUCAGGUUAUGAAUGCGCUAGAAUGAAGCUCAUUCAGAAGACUGCCCCUCCCUUUGUUAAUGCCUGAUCAUUUGAAGUAAACACAACUUCCGCCUCCCUGAAGCUAACCACCAAUGUGGUACUGAAAUGUGUAAACUGAAAGUGGGCCCAGUUCUGCAGAGUGUUCAACUCCCCCCAGAGUUCACGCUGACCCGGAAAUUUAGAGGCUUCAUCUUAAGAUUGCAAGUGGGAAAAAAGGCUGCCGUGGUCAUUGUUGAUUGGUGCCUUGAAGCUCCUUGAAGGCACAAGGCAGCCUGGCACUUGGGCAGCUGAACAUAGGUAGCGCCAAGCAGCUGGACAGUGUUCAGUUUGGAAGAUAGAAAAUUGAUUUGUAAACUUAGGUGAGCUGAGCUCACCUGAAGUGGUGUGUUUCUCAGAGGAUAUUAUUAGAGUUGGUUUUAUAGUCAUUUUAUUUUGACAAUUCUUCAACUGCUUUUGCUUUUUAAAAGUUUUAAACUUUCAAAGCAGUUCUUUGACUAAGAAUAUAAAUAUUUCCCAAACUAAAUUAUUUCCGAAGUCCACCUGCCUUGCCUCAUUUUUACAGUUCCCUACUAACGUUUUUAUCCAGAAAGCGCAGGCCAAAUUCGGGAGUGAGUCUCAGUUUCUUGACUCUGAUAUGAAAAAUGCAUGCUUUAUAGAGAACCAGCCCGCAGGAAUUCAUAAGAAAAAUUGUUUUCAGUGUUCACUUGACAGUUCAGCUGGAGAAGGGGAAUUUUGUAAACUCUGAAUUUAAGUAAAUUGUUUAGUGUGACCAUUGCAAAACAUUAAAGUUUGUGUGUACUUAUGAUUGUUUAGUUUCUCAUUGACUCUUAGAAUGAAAAUCUCUUA